rnacentral:rRNA from 1 species
GACGAACGCUGGCGGCGUGCUUAACACAUGCAAGUCGAACGCUGAAGCCCAGCUUGCUGGGUGGAUGAGUGGCGAACGGGUGAGUAACACGUGAGUAACCUGCCCCCUUCUUUGGGAUAACGCCCGGAAACGGGUGCUAAUACUGGAUAUUCACUGGCCUUCGCAUGGGGGUUGGUGGAAAGGUUUUUUCUGGUGGGGGAUGGGCUCGCGGCCUAUCAGCUUGUUGGUGGGGUGAUGGCCUACCAAGGCUUUGACGGGUAGCCGGCCUGAGAGGGUGACCGGUCACAUUGGGACUGAGAUACGGCCCAGACUCCUACGGGAGGCAGCAGUGGGGAAUAUUGCACAAUGGGCGAAAGCCUGGUGCAGCGACGCCGCGUGAGGGAUGACGGCCUUCUGGUUGUAAACCUCUUUCGCUCAUGGUCAAGCCGCAGCUUUGGGUUGUGGUGAGGGUUUGGGGUAAUAAGCGUGUGCUAUCUAUGUUUCGGUGGGCUUUGUUGUCUUUGGUUGCGAUCUUUACGUGAUGUUGGGUGUGUGUGGUGUUUUUUCAUGUUCACACUCCUACUUUUGUAUUCUACUGUUUGAAUUUGGUGUGUUCUGCGUGCUUGUAGCUGAUUUGAUUCGUGGGGUGAUGCUUGUUAGUCGUUGUAUUAUGUAUGAAUACACCAUACUGUGAUGAACUUAUGUGUUGUUGUGUUUUUUGUGUGUUGUUGUUGGCUUGUCUUUUUUCUAUUGUGUUAUAUUACUACAUGUGUCUAGUGUGUCUGUGUGUUUGUGUUUGCGGUGUGUGUGUUGUGUUUUCUCUGCUUCCAAAAAAUAAAAAAUGACUAUAUGAUUAUAAUUGACAUACUUUUUUUGUGCUGUGUUGCUUCCUGUAGUGUCUCUGUGAUAUUUGUCUU